UGCAGUCGAACGAGAAAGGGUAGCAAUACCUGAGUAAAGUGGCGUACGGGUGAGUAACACGUGGAUCAUCUACCUCUUAGCGGGGAAUACCUCUGGGAAACCGGAGACAAUACCGCAUAAGCUCGAGAGAGGAAACCCGAAAGGGGCUGAGAGAGGAGUCCGCGGCCGAUUAGCUAGUUAGUAGGGUAAAAGCCUACCAAGGCGAAGAUCGGUAGCCGGCCUGAGAGGGCACACGGCCACACUGGCACUGAAACACGGGCCAGACUCCUACGGGAGGCAGCAGUGGGGAAUCUUGCACAAUGGGGGAAACCCUGAUGCAGCGACGCCGCGUGAGCGAUGAAGCCCUUCGGGGUGUAAAGCUCUUUCGACGGGAACGAUAAUGACGGUACCCGGAGAAGAAGCUGCGGCUAACUACGUGCCAGCAGCCGCGGUAAUACGUAGGCAGCAAGCGUUGUUCGGAGUUACUGGGCGUAAAGAGUGCGUAGGCGGUGCCCUAAGUCUGUUGUGAAAUCUCCCGGCUUAACUGGGAGGGCGCGGUGGAAACUGGGGUGCUUGAGUGUGGGAGAGGUAAGCGGAAUUCCUGGUGUAGCGGUGAAAUGCGUAGAUAUCAGGAGGAACACCGGUGGUGUAGGCGGCUUACUGGACCACGACUGACGCUGAGGCACGAAAGCGU
rnacentral:rRNA from 1 species